CGAGCUGUAGUGUAGUUGGUUAUCACUUUCGGUUUUGAUUGAGUUCAAUAACAUCUCCGAACGACUCCGGUUCGAAUCCGGGCAGCUCGU